rnacentral:rRNA from 1 species
AUUGAACGCUGGCGGCAGGCCUAACACAUGCAAGUCGAGCGGAUGAAGGGAGCUUGCUCCUGGAUGCAGCGGCGGACGGGUGAGUAAUGCCUAGGAAUCUGCCUGGUAGUGGGGGAUAACGUCCGGAAACGGGCGCUAAUACCGCAUACGUCCUGAGGGUGAAAGUGGGGGAUCUUCGGACCUCACGCUAUCAGAUGAGCCUAGGUCGGAUUAGCUAGUUGGUGGGGUAAAGGCCUACCAAGGCGACGAUCCGUAACUGGUCUGAGAGGAUGAUCAGUCACACUGGAACUGAGACACGGUCCAGACUCCUACGGGAGGCAGAAGUGGGGAAUAUUGGACAAUGGGCGAAAGCCUGAUCCAGCCAUGCCGCGUGUGUGAAGAAGGUCUUCGGAUUGUAAAGCACUUUAAGUUGGGAGGAAGGGCAGUAAGUUAAUACCUUGCUGUUUUGACGUUACCAACAGAAUAAGCACCGGCUAACUUCGUG